ensembl:lncRNA
GUUUAAUGAAUCAUUUUCAUAACUUUAAAUUUAAAUAUAAAUUUGAAAAUUAUACACACAAGUUUUGCAAAUAACAAAGUUUUUUGCAGCCAUUUACCUUUUUUUUUAAUAACCAUUAACCUAUUUACAGAACAAUCAGCUGUUCUUCAAUAAGAUGCCACAAAUUAUUUGUGCCACUCCAAAAACAUCAUUUGUGUCCAGUAUAAAGGAAACAUCCCAGCCUGAUACCUGCAGGUCUGACAGCAGCUCAUAAGCAGAGAGGUCUCGCUGCUGUCCUUAGACAGUAAACAUGAAACUAUUGAGGAACAAACAGGCGUAUAUCUUGUUUAUCAUGACUCUGGUUUUACGUUUCCUAUCAACACAAUUUAUAAACUGGUAUAUGUCACCGUGUUGCUUUGUCUUUAAGUGCUCAUGUGAUUGGCCACGACUACUUUAUUCUUCCUCAGUCAAACAGCAGCACUCAUGCGAUUGUUUUGCCCCCUGAGCUCCAGCUGUUGUGCCAAAAAGUGAUCGUCUGUCUGCGGGAGCGCGCAGCUGCUUAAAGCUGUAGCGCCCAGAUUACUUACAGCUACUUCCUGCAGCUGGUAUAAGAUGCUGUGAGCUGAACACAGCUUCAACCGUCUGUUUGUUGAAACAUAGUAACGGACCACAUUUUCUUGUUAGUAACGGUAACGGUGUUGUAGCGAUAGGAAUAGUAAUUAGAUUACUCGUUACUGAAAAAGUAGCGCCGUUACUCCCAUCAGUGGUAAUGAGCAGCCUGCGGAGCUCUCCAACCACCCCGUCUUUAAAGCCCAUGAAAGGUUUUCCUUUGCAUGGUGAACUUUGGUGACAGAGUGCAGAGGAAGUGCUCUGUCUGCGUCACGUUAAAGGAUCUGACCUCCAUCACGUUCUGUGUUUCCAGCCUUUACUGGGGAAAUGUCUGUUCUUCCUGAGAACCACUGAGAAGGCCAUAACCACCGCCAACGUGCAGCAGGAAGUGAACUUUGGCGUGUUGGACUGCAGCGGCGGCGGUGGCGUCCUGAACAGUCUAGAAACUCUGCUGACUCACAUCAUGUUACCUGCUCUCAGGUCGCAGCAGGUAAAACACCUCCAUCCAUUCAGGCUUUCAC